CUACGGGAGGCAGCAGUGGGGAAUAUUGCACAAUGGGGGAAACCCUGAUGCAGCCAUGCCGCGUGUGUGAAGAAGGCCUUCGGGUUGUAAAGCACUUUCAGCGAGGAGGAAAGGGUGUAAGUUAAUACCUUACAUCUGUGACGUUACUCGCAGAAGAAGCACCGGCUAACUCCGUGCCAGCAGCCGCGGUAAUACGGAGGGUGCGAGCGUUAAUCGGAAUUACUGGGCGUAAAGCGUGCGCAGGCGGUUAGUUAAGCGAGAUGUGAAAGCCCCGGGCUCAACCUGGGAACCGCAUUUCGAACUGGCAAACUAGAGUCUUGUAGAGGGGGGUAGAAUUCCAGGUGCAGCGGUGAAAUGCGUAGAGAUCUGGAGGAAUACCGGUGGCGAAGGCGGCCCCCUGGACAAAGACUGACGCUCAGGCACGAAAGCGUGGGGAGCAAACAGGAUUAGAUACCCUGGUAGUCCACGCCGUAAACGAUGUCUACUCGGAGUUUGGUGUCUUGAACACUGGGCUCUCAAGCUAACGCAUUAAGUAGACCGCCUGGGGAGUACGGCCGCAAGGUUAAAACUCAAAGGAAUUGACGGA
rnacentral:rRNA from 1 species